CUUUCUUAGUUGAAGACCCCUUCUUGAUAAUGGAUGUUUUAUAGUUAGAGACUCUGUCACUAGUGGGGUUUCACUCACCGUCCUGGUGCCCUAUCAGUAAUUACUUCUUCCCUGUGGGGCUGUUCAGCAGUGACCAUAUCAGUGUAUGCAUGAAAAUGUGCUAAACUGGGAGAAGAAAAGCUGCUCAUGGUUAGAUUUUUAUUGUUAAGACUGGAAGAGAACAGAAUGGGAAGGUGAUGACCUCGAAUUCUGCUCCUGGAUUUGCCACAGACUGUCGUUUGAUAUAUUGAGGCAAAUAAUCUCCUAAUGCUGAAAUAUAGAAGCAAGGUAUUUUCUACCUACUCAAGAUGUUUCAAAGUUAAUUCAUUAAUUCUUGUGAUGCUCUCCAUUUCAUGAGUGUUACAGAAAAUAACAAAGAUUUCAAUGACAAUAAAUAAUGGAUGU
ensembl:lncRNA